GGCUCGUUGGUCUAGGGGUAUGAUUCUCGCUUCGGGUGCGAGAGGUCCCGGCUUCAAACCUCGGAUGAGCCC
rnacentral:ncRNA from 13 species